AGAACGAACGCUGGCGGCAUGCCUAAUACAUGCAAGUCGAACGAACUCUUCGGAGUUAGUGGCGCACGGGUGCGUAACGCGUGGGAAUCUGCCCCUUGGUUCGGAAUAACAGUUGGAAACGACUGCUAAUACCGGAUGAUGACGAAAGUCCAAAGAUUUAUCGCCAAGGGAUGAGCCCGCGUAGGAUUAGCUAGUUGGUGAGGUAAAGCUCACCAAGGCAACGAUCCUUAGCUGGUCUGAGAGGAUGAUCAGCCACA
rnacentral:rRNA from 1 species